GCUCUAUGGGGUUGGGGGUCCUAUGGGCUCUAUGGGGUUGGGGGUCCUAUGGGCUCUAUGGGGUUUGUCGGAAUACAACAACUUCAAGUCCAUGGUGGUGUCGGGGGCAAAAGGCUCCAAGAUCAACAUCUCACAGGUUAUCGCAGUUGUGGGUCAGCAGAACGUGGAGGGGAAGCGGAUCCCCUUUGGGUUCAAGCAUCUUUAGGGUCCCUAUGGGGUCUUUAUGUUUCCUAUGGGGUCUUUAUGUUUCCUAUGGGGUCUCUAGGUUUCCUAUGGGGUCUUUAUAGUUCCUAUGGGGUCUUUAGGGUUCCUAUGGGUUCUUUAGGGUCUCCUAGACCUAUCUGGUCUUAAGGGAUCCCAGGGGGUUUUUAUGGUCUCCUAUGGGGUCUUUAUGUCUCCUAUGGGGUCUUUAGGUUCCCUAUGGGGUUUUUAUGGUCUCACAUCCCAUAUCAUCCCUAUACCAGGUUAUUGCUGUUGUGGGGCAGCAGAACGUGGAGGGGAAGCGGAUCCCCUUUGGGUUCAAGCAUCUUUAGGGUCCCUAUGGGGUCUUUAUGUCUCCUAUGGGGUCUUUAUGUCUCCUAUGGGGUCUUUAUGGUUCCUAUGGGGUCUUUAUGGUUCCUAUGGGGUCUUUAGGGUCUCCUAGACCUAUCUGGUCUUAAGGGAUCCCAGGGGGUCUUUAUAGUCUCCUAUGGGGUCUUUAGGGUCUCUAUGGGGUCUUUAUGUCUCCUAUGGGGUCUUUAGGUCCCAUUCAAUCCCAUUGUAUCCUAUAUCCCUAUAGGUUAUCGCAGUUGUGGGUCAGCAGAACGUGGAGGGGAAGCGGAUCCCCUUUGGGUUCAAGCAUCUUUAGGGUCCCUAUGGGGUCUUUAUGUCUCCUAUGGGAUCUUUAGGUUUCCUAUGGGAUCUUUAGGUCUCCUAUGGGGUCUUUAGGUUCCCUAUGGGGUUUUUAGGUCUCCUAUGGGGUCUUUAGGUUUCCUAUGGGGUCUUUAGGGUCUCCUAUGGGGUCUUAGGUUUCCUACCGGAUCUUUAGGGUCUCCUAUGGGGUCUUUAUGGUCCCUAUGGGGUCUUUAUGUCUCCUAUGGGGUCUUUAGGUUCCCUAUGGGGUCUUUAGGUUUCCUACGGGAUCUUUAGGUUUCCUAUGGGGUCUUUAUGGUUCCUAUGAGGUCUUUAGGGUCCCU